UACGUAGGGGGCCAGCGUUGCUCGGAAUUACUGGGCGUAAAGGGUCUGUAGGCGGUGCGGCAAGUCGAUAGUGAAAUCCCUAGGCUUAACCUAGGGGCUGCUAGCGAAACUGCCGUGCUAGAGUGUGAGAGAGGCGAGUGGAAUUACGGGUGUAGCGGUGAAAUGCGUAGAUAUCCGUAGGAACAUCCGAGGCGAAAGCGGCUCGCUGGAUCACAACUGACGCUGAGAGACGAAAGCUAGGGGAGCAAACAGG
rnacentral:rRNA from 1 species